rfam:Hordeum vulgare subsp. vulgare, WGS project CAJW01000000 data, contig: morex_contig_42973
AUACUACUCUCUCCGUCCGAAAUUAUUGUCACGAAAAUGGAUAAUAAUAGAUGUAUUUAGAUGUAUUUUAUUUUUUCAUACAUCCAUUAUUAUCCACUUUUAUGACAAGUAAUUUUGGAUGAAGAAAGUAUGUC